rnacentral:rRNA from 1 species
GAUGAACGCUGGCGGCGUGCUUAACACAUGCCAGUCGAACGGUGAAAGAGAGCUUGCUCUCUGGAUCAGUGGCGAACGGGUGAGUAACACGUGAGCAAUCUGCCCCUGACUCUGGGAUAAGCGCUGGAAACGGCGUCUAAUACCGGAUACGAGCUGCGAAGGCAUCUUCAGCAGCUGGAAAGAACUUCGGUCAGGGAUGAGCUCGCGGCCUAUCAGCUAGUUGGUGAGGUAACGGCUCACCAAGGCGUCGACGGGUAGCCGGCCUGAGAGGGUGACCGGCCACACUGGGACUGAGACACGGCCCAGACUCCUACGGGAGGCAGCAGUGGGGAAUAUUGCACAAUGGGCGAAAGCCUGAUGCAGCAACGCCGCGUGAGGGACGACGGCCUUCGGGUUGUAAACCUCUUUUAGCAGGGAGGAAGCGAAAGUGACGGUACCUGCAGAAAAAGCACCGGCUAACUACGUG